rnacentral:lncRNA from 1 species
AGGUUGCCUUGUACCUAGGCAAGUGUUACACUGCUGGGAGAACAGCAGCCGAUAGCUGGUUGGUAUUCUGGGCCUGGUUCAUGCCAACUCUGUUGUUAACUAUACCAGGAUGCCAGCAUAGUUGUUUGUCCAGUGGGGUUAAAUCUGCAUGAGCAUGACUUUGCAGGGAGAAACCUAAAAAUCCAGACGUUUCUGAGUGUUUCUGGUGCAACAGGUUUGACUAGUGCGAAGUUGCCUAAAUCACACCCAGGAAACAGAACAAAGAAUGACUUGAAAGUAGGGCAUCUUUGGCCCUCCUGAAGAGAGGAAAUUAAAGGCGGACAGUCUGUGUAUGGAGUUUUCAGAUACCUUCACCUAAGUGAGAAACCUGCCUUCAUCAGGACCUCAGAUGUCUGACAGCCCUGUGUGACACCAAGAGAAGUAGUGGUUGAAACUACUGUCAAUGGACUGUUGCAUUGAAAUUUUGGAUCAUGUCUCACAUUUUAAUCAGGAAAAUAGGACCCCAGAGGAAUAAAUUCUGCAGGUCCCAAAGGCACAUAAAAAAGUGGCUCAGUGCCUAGGAAUUCACAUAAAGGAAAACAACCUGGAUCCCAUUGAGGAUAUUACAUUUAGUCAUCACGUCUCCUUAGACUCCUCUUGGCUGUGACAGCUUCUUAGACUUUCUUUGUUUUUGAUGAGCUUGAGUUUUGGGUCAGGUGUUUUGUAAAAAGUCCCUUCAAUUAGGAUUGAGUUUUUCUCAGGAUUAGGCUAGGCAUUAAGGAAUUUUGAGAGAACACAGAAGUAAAGUGCCAUUCUCAUCAUGUAUCAAGAGUGUAUACUAUCAAUAUGAUUUUCUCCUAUUGAUGUUAAUCUUGAUCACCUGGCUGAGGUCUUAUUUGCCAGUUUUCUCCACUGUAAAGUUACUCCCCCUCACCCAACACUGUACUCUUUGGGAAUAAAGUCACUAUGUGAAGCCCAUAAUUAAGGAGAGGGGAGUUGUGUUCUCCUUGAGGGUAGAAGGUCUACAUAAGUUAUUUGGAAUUCUUCAGAAAGAAAUUGGUCUCUUCUCCCUCAUUUAUUCAAUUUAUACUUUAGGAAAAAAAUCCAAUAAUACUUAAUUUUGUUAAAGUGUUCCAGAUUUGGCCUUUGGGAGCUGUUUCAGGUGGCUCCUAUGUCCCUUCAAUAUGCCCCCAUCAUUGUGAGGUUGUUUUAAGCACUUCUCACUAUGGCCCUAUACGAUGGUUCAGGCUCAUCUUGUAUUUUUCCUGUCCCAGUCCCAGAGUCAACCAUUUGGUUGUAAGUUUUAUCCUGGUACUCACAAGGAGCCCUGCUUCCUUUAUUGGAGAAUAAUACUAAGGAACCAAGAUCUGGGCACUAGAUGUGCUCUUGGUACUGAGGUUUUGUUGCUUCUAGGCCCUAUCAGCUGAUAGAACACUGAAGUAUAUAUGUAUGCAUAUAUAAGGAUCCUAACCAGGAUCCUUAGUUUAUAGCCCCCUAUAUUCUAUAAAUGUUCCACUUUUAAUAAUGACAUUUUAUUCUAUGGUCUUUGUUUAUUCUCUUUCAUCUAGAAUAGUGGUUGAGCUGUUGUCUUUUAUAGCAGAUGCUGUAGUUCCCAGAUGACUGAUUAUUUUUACCCUAUGAGCUCACAGUAGAGGAUGGGAAUUUUGUGUCAGCUGCCGGUAGAGAGGAGCCAAGCCCAGGCCCUGGUGUCCUAAAGAGUUGAAGGAGAAGAGAGAGAGCCUUAAGGCACAGAACCUCUGAGUUAGAAUCAGGGCUUCACCAGAGCAGCAGAUGGUCAAACUGCUUCUCCUUCCCCUCAGUUGCAAUUCUCUCAAGAACUCCAGGUGCUAGUAAGUAAGGUUGCAUUAUGCUGGCCACUCCAGCAAGUGAUGAGUUGAACAUGAGGCAAUGAAUAGGAUAGGGGAAAAGAACAGAAGUUUCGUCACCACCAAGAUUACCCCUACUCCCAUGGCACUCUACCCUUUUCUACACUGGACUUCCAUUUCUUGCCCUUGUAUAGUGGGACCCAAUCAUGAUCUGUUUCUCCAAGGGACUCUUCAUAUUUAAUUUCUCAGAUCUCUAACUUCCCUCUUAUUUGUGUAAUACCUCCAGGGCUGAGUUAGAGGAAGAGGCAAUAGCCUAUGGUAAUUACUCAUCUUGUCAAACUGGUCAUUUAAUAGAUACCCUUUAUCGGUUUAUUAGUUUUAUUAACUGAAUUCUGUUAGACAUUGGGGAUAAGUGAUGAACAAACACAUUCUCUGCUCACCUUAAUAUGUACAGUCUAGCCUUUAUCUCUCUCGCCUCAUCUUUGCCACCUUGGUUUCUUUCAGUCCUUGAUAAGCCUUUUACUACGAGGUCUCUGCGCAUGCUGUUUCUGUCUGGGUCCAUCUUCUCUACUUUGUCUAAUUUGAGAUCUCGGCUCAGACAGCACUUCUGCAGAGAAGCCACCUUUCCUGACUGAGCACCCAUUAUAUGUGUAAUUGCACUGUUUUACCACAGAGCUAGAAAGUCAGCUGCCAUGUAAGAGUCCUUUGAAAAGCUGGUAUUCACCAGCUUCUAAAGAUUUACCUCAUUCCCCUAUGGCCAAGCAGGUUCAAUUCUACUGACAACUGAUUAAAGGGCCUCAGCUGGUAAAUAUUAAUGUCUGUGUGUCAUAAUGUACCCAAAAUAGAGUAAGGCCAUAGGCAUAUCCUGUUUUUUAAUAAUACCCCAGUAAAUGAGGAUAAAGAGAUUGCUGGUUUUGUUCUUUUUAAAAAAUUUUGAAACAGAAAAAUCAUAGAAACAAGUGUCAGAUUUCCUAAUCAUUUGCUAGUGGACCCUAAAGAUAUAAUAUAGUGCACAAAUAUUUGACACUAAAUUUAGCUUGAAAAAGUAUUAAAUGAACAUAGUGGAUUUGCAGAGAAUUUGUUCAAAUUUGAGACAUCUGUUAACUAAAAUAAUGUGGGAUUUUCUUUUUUUGGUAAUCUAUAAAUGUCUUUAUAGUUAAGAAAAUUAGUAAAACAUCUUUGUGUAUAAAUUAUAGCUUGCAUAGCCUCUCUUACUAGCAGUCAUUGCGCUGAUGAAUAGGUACCAGGAUAAAACUUAUAACCAGAUUUAAGUGAGUAAUUUUAACAUGUUUACUCUGGGGCU